rnacentral:rRNA from 1 species
GUGAGGAAUUUUCCGCAAUGGACGAAAGCCUGACGGAGCAAUGCCGCGUGAAGGAUGAAGGCCUAUGGGUUGUAAACUUCUUUUCUCAGAAAAGAAUUAUGACGGUAUCUGAGGAAUAAGCAUCGGCUAACUCUGUGCCAGCAGCCGCGGUAAGACAGAGGAUGCAAGCGUUAUCCGGAAUGAUUGGGCGUAAAGCGUCUGUAGGUUGUUUAAAAAGUAUUCUGUCAAAGAUUAGGGCUUAACCCUAGAUAGGCAGAAUAAACUUUUAAGCUAGAGUUUGGUAGAGGCAGAGGGAAUUCCCGGUGGAGCGGUGAAAUGCGUAGAUAUCGGGAGGAACACCAAAGGCGAAGGCACUCUGCUGGGCCAAUACUAACACUGAGAGACGAAAGCGAGGGGAGCAAAUGGGAUUAGAAACCCUGGUAGUCC